rnacentral:rRNA from 1 species
AUUGAACGCUGGCGGCAUGCCUUACACAUGCAAGUCGAACGGCAGCACGGGAGCAAUCCUGGUGGCGAGUGGCGAACGGGUGAGUAAUAUAUCGGAACGUGCCCAGUCGUGGGGGAUAACGUAGCGAAAGCUACGCUAAUACCGCAUACGAUCUACGGAUGAAAGCGGGGGAUCGCAAGACCUCGCGCGAUUGGAGCGGCCGAUAUCAGAUUAGCUAGUUGGUGGGGUAAAAGCUCACCAAGGCGACGAUCUGUAGCUGGUCUGAGAGGACGACCAGCCACACUGGAACUGAGACACGGUCCAGACUCCUACGGGAGGCAGCAGUGGGGAAUUUUGGACAAUGGGCGCAAGCCUGAUCCAGCAAUGCCGCGUGCAGGAUGAAGGCCUUCGGUUGUAACUGCUUUGUUACGGAACGAAACGGUGAGCUCUAAUAAAGCUUGCUAAUGACGGUACCGUAAGAAUAAGCACCGGCUAACUACGUGCC